CGCGUGUGUGAAGAAGGCUUCGGGUUGUAAAGCACUUUCAAUUGUGAAGAAGGGGUUCGUGUUAAUAGCACGGAUCUUUGACGUUAACUUUAGAAGAAGCACCGGCUAACUCCGUGCCAGCAGCCGCGGUAAUACGGAGGGUGCAAGCGUUAAUCGGAAUUACUGGGCGUAAAGCGCGCGUAGGCGGUUGUUUAAGUCAGAUGUGAAAGCCCCGGGCUCAACCUGGGAAUGGCCUCUGAUACUGGAUAACUAGAGUUUGGGAGAGGGGAGUAGAAUUUCAGGUGUAGCGGUGAAAUGCAUAGAUAUCUGAAGGAAUACCAGUGGCGAAGGCGACUCCCUGGCCUAAAACUGACGCUGAGGUGCGAAAGCGUGGGUAGCAAACAGGAUUAGAUACCCUGGUAGUCCACGCUGUAAACGAUGUCACUAGCCGUUGGGACUCUUGAA
rnacentral:rRNA from 1 species